rnacentral:lncRNA from 1 species
CGCAGUCUCAUCUUAGAAACCUCGGAGUGGCUCCGGGUGGUGAUUCAGAGCACGCUCGGCAGUCGUUGGGAUCUGCUGCUUCUCUGCACAUCAGCACCAGCAUCGAGUGGUCAGGAUUCUCUGCACACCCACGUUCAAGAUGUGUUACAAAGAGCAUUUGUGCCCAGCCUCCUAAUAGGUAGGGAGAGUGCGGUUUUGAAAGCAUACAAAAAAUUAACUUUUGUGGCAGAAAACCCCAGUUCCACAUUAACAAGCCAUUAUUCCAGAUGAAAUGACCAGUCCCCAUGGAAAGCAGUGACCUCA